AUGGUGGAAGGAUCGGCGAGCGACAUCAUGAACCUGAAGUUCCUCUUGCUCUGCUUCCAGCAGAUGUUUGGCCUCAAGAUUAACUUCAAUAAGAGCUCGGUGAUGGUUCUGGGAUACUCCGACGCCGAUCGUCAGAGUAUCGCGGACCGGCUCAAUUGCCCGCUCGGGAGUUUCCCCACAACCUAUCUGGGGAUACCCAUUAGUGACUUGAGGCUCACGGUGGCCGAGCUUCGGCCCACGGUGGGCAAGCUCCAGCACCGCGUGGAGCCAUGGCAGGGAAGGUGGCUUUCCAAAGCCGCCCGAACGGUGUUGAUCAACUCAUCCCUAUCCAGCCUGCUCCUAUUCAUAAUGAGCUUUUACAGCCUGCCCGAGACUCUGCACCAUGAGAUUGCCAGGGUUCAGGGUCGCUUCUACUGGGCUGGUGAGGGAGACAAGCAGAAAUACCACAUGGUACGAUGGUCUGAAAUUUGUAAACCUCGUGAUCAGGGCGGGCUUGGGAUAAUGUGUUCCAAGCGGAUGAACAUUGCCCUCCUAACUAGAUGGCUUUGGCGGAUUACGAACGGCGAGGGUGGCCUGUGGCUC
rnacentral:rRNA from 1 species